UAAAGUGGCCCACUCCAUAUAACCAAAAUCAUCAAGGCGAAGACAAAGAUGGUCCAAAAAUAUCAUUGGAACCACGUGAUUCUUGGUAAAUAUUUGGUACUCCACUCAAUUCUAUUAUUCAUUACUUGAAUAGGACAAUUUUUUUUUCAUAGAUUUAAAAAUAUCACUGAUGCCAACAGAUCUUUCUUAAAGUGUAUUAGAUACACAUUAUACAUAUGUAUUGUAAAUCCCACUCAAA
rnacentral:lncRNA from 1 species